rnacentral:sRNA from 1 species
GUCCUGGUCCGAUUUGGGAUACAGGGAGGAGGUACAGGAGAACUGCGUGCGGUGGCGAAAGAGGUUCACCUUCGUGUGUAAGAUGAGUGCUAACCCGGCCACCGGCCUGCUGGACCCCUGUGUCUUCCGCGUGUCUGUGCGCAAGGAGCUGAAAGGCGGGAAGGCUUAUUCCAAGCUGGGCUUCGCUGACUUGAACCUGGCCGAGUUUGCGGGCUCGGGCUCCACGGUGCGCUGCUGCCUGCUCGAGGGAUAUGACACGAAGAACACUCGCCAGGACAACUCCAUCCUUAAGGUCACCAUUGGUAUGUUCCUGCUCUCUGGAGAUCCCUGCUUCAAGACGCCACCAUCUACUGCCAAGUCCAUCUC